CCGACCUGUAGGCCACCCUGCGGGUGCCUGUGUCUCCAGACCACGUCCUCCUCUCGCCGAGUCUGCACAGUUGGUGAAGCGAAGGUCCGGCAGGGCACCGAAAAGGACGUUUACUCCCAGGGUUGAAACGCAAGGCAAGACCACAGCCCAGACCCCGAAAGGCAGGAACUUGCUCCCGUUUAAGAACUUCCAACGCAAGAAGAUUCCAGAAGCGUUAUUGAUCGCGUCAUUGCACAGCCCUCUAUUCCGUAUCUUUAGGUGCCUCGGAUGGGGCACUUGAGCCCAGAACGUAGGUCUCAAGAAGAAAAGAUAUCUCUUUCUGCUUUCCCAAAUUGUGAAGGAUUAUUGAAUAUGAGCCCUUUUAUGCUGCAAUGGAUCCAUAUGAACCUACGAAAUGAAAAAUGUUUUUGGCCAGGUGUCGUUAAAUGUAUAGUCUGCAGUGUCCUCAAGUUGAGAAACAUGACUGGCAGUCAUUCCUCCCACUCAGAGGGAUCUCCAAAUCUGUCUCACUUCUCACUGGGUAAGUGGUUUUGUUGGAGCCCAAGGCUUUCAGAAGUACUCUCAGGAAUGGACUACAAGCUUAGGAAGAGUCAUGCUGUCUUCCUUAAGUCUAACUAUUCUACAACUAGAUAUUGUUACAGUGCCAUGGUGUUGGAUCAAUACACACACACACACACACACACACACACACACACACAAUCUCCAAGUUCUUAAAGUCAAAUGUACAGUAGAUAUAAUCUUUGCCAUUUCACAGAUGAUAAAACUGAGACCCACAGGUCAAGUAACCUGCUGCCAGAAACCUAUACCCCGUGGAGGUGUGAUCCAGACCAAGCCAGCCCAACCCCACUAUGCUUUGU